rnacentral:rRNA from 1 species
UAGGAAUCUCCACAAUGGACGAAAGUCUGAUGGAGCAACGCCGCGUGAGUGAAGAAGGGUUUCGGCUCGUAAAGCUCUGUUGGUAGUGAAGAAAGAUAGAGGUAGUAACUGGCCUUUAUUUGACGGUAAUUACUUAGAAAGUCACGGCUAACUACGUGCC